UGUGUGUGUGUUUGUUUGUGUGUUGAGUGGAGUUGAGUGGAGUGGGCAUUGGGAGUAUCUUCCUGACAAGAACUUUCACCCUUUGAGAGGCCUUCAUUUUUCAAAAGGAAAAUAAUAAAGUAGACAAAGAAAAGCUCUCCUUGGCCCAUAGGCAUCAUGGGCGAAGUACAAUGAACAUCGUUAGGGGACAAGGGGGGCAUUAUAUUAGAUACAUGACCAAUUGGAGUGCAACAGGUCGAUAAGUUAUUGUAUAUACUUCCAAGCCAGUGGAAAUAAACAUGUCUUUUACAGAAGUUCUAUGAGACAAUCUAGUUUUUAUUUGUCGAAUUUUUCCUGCCAUUUAUGCGACUCAUAGUACGUUUUGGAACAGGGAGUAUGAACUAGAUCGCCUCCAAGAGUGCUAAAUAAGGGUGGGGUCCUGAAACGCUGAGAAUUGUCUCAUAUUCUUCCAUCAUAAUGUUCAGUCAUAUCUCUAUAUUCAUAUGCGUAUGCUACUAUUUAAUGCAAUGUAGAAUCCACGCAUCUUCUUGAGAUUUUCAA
rnacentral:lncRNA from 1 species